AAAGCUCUGUGUUAGGAAGAACAAGGCGAGAGUACUGCUCGCACCUUGACGGUACCUAACCAGAAAGCCACGGCUAACUACGUGCCAGCAGCCGCGGUAAUACGUAGGUGGCAAGCGUUGUCCGGAAUUAUUGGGCGUAAAGGGCUCGCAGGCGGUUUCUUAAGUCUGAUGUGAAAGCCCCCGGCUCAACCGGGGAGGGUCAUUGGAAACUGGGAAACUUGAGUGCAGAAGAGGAGAGUGGAAUUCCACGUGUAGCGGUGAAAUGCGUAGAGAUGUGGAGGAACACCAGUGGCGAAGGCGACUCUCUGGUCUGUAACUGACGCUGAGGAGCGAAAGCGUGGGGAGCGAACAGGAUUAGAUACCCUGGUAGUCCACGCCGUAAACGAUGAGUGCUAAGUGUUAGGGGGUUUCCGCCCCUUAGUGCUGCAGCUAACGCAUUAAGCACUCCGCCUGGGGAGUACGGUCGCAAGACUGAAACUCAAAGGAAUUGACGGGGGCCCGCACAAGCGGUGGAGCAUGUGGUUUAAUUCGAAGCAACGCGAAGAACCUUACCAGGUCUUGACAUCCUCUGACAACCCUAGAGAUAGGGCUUUCCCUUCGGGGACAGAGUGACAGGUGGUGCAUGGUUGUCGUCAGCUCGUGUCGUGAGAUGUUGGGUUAAGUCCCGCAACGAGCGCAACCCUUGAUCUUAGUUGCCAGCAUUUAGUUGGGCACUCUAAGGUGACUGCCGGUGACAAACCGGAGGAAGGUGGGGAUGACGUCAAAUCAUCAUGCCCCUUAUGACCUGGGCUACACACGUGCUACAAUGGACAGAACAAAGGGCUGCGAGACCGCAAGGUUUAGCCAAUCCCAUAAAUCUGUUCUCAGUUCGGAUCGCAGUCUGCAACUCGACUGCGUGAAGCAGGUAUCGCUAGUACUCGCGGAUCAGCAUGCCGACGAGAGAUUACCAU
rnacentral:rRNA from 2 species